GAUGAUGCACAAGUUCUCGGAGCAACUAGUGGAACUGGAUGUAAUGGUGAGAAGAAUGAUAAUGGAGAGUUUUGGAGUAGAGAAGUACCUUGACGAGCAUCUAAAUUCUACAAACUAUCUCUUUCGAAUGAUGAAGUACACAGCACCUCCUGAUGAAGAUGUAGAAGAGGCAAAGCUAGGUUUACGUUCUCAUACGGACAAGAACAUCAUCACCAUACUUCAUCAGUAUGAAGUUGAUGGUUUGGAAAUUAUGACCAAAGAUGGACAAUGGAUCAAAGUGAAACCAUCUCAACAUUCUUUCAUCAUUAUGGUUGGAGAUUCUCUAUGUGUAAGUUCCUUCAAACUUCACACACAUGCACACACUAUUUAAAACAAUACUCAUUUGUUUGUUGAUCGAUGUUGCAGGCACUUUUGAAUGGUAGAUUGUAUUCUCCAUACCACCGAGUCUUGAUGGUGGCAAAGAAGACAAGGUAUUCGACUGCAAUGUUCUCUGUUCCAAAAUCAGGAGUUAUCAUAGAUUCACCUGAAGAGGUUGUCGACGAAGAACAUCCUCGUAUGUUCAAACCCUUUGAAUAUAUGGAUUUCCUUAACUUCUUUCACUCGGAAGCAGGUAGCAGAGUUGAAUCUACUCUCCAUGCUUUUUGUGCUCUCUAAAACAUUUAAACUUUUAUUCACAAUAAUGAAUGUAAUUGACUUCACAUUAUAUGGUAUAGGUUUUGUUCCUUUUUCUUUUCAUGUUUUCUGUAAUUUGAUAUGUUAUCACAUGCAUAUAUUUAAUUAUAUAGUUCAAAAACAAAUCAAUUUCUGAAAAAAAAACUCUAAUUAAUUACUUAUGUAAUUUAUGAAAGACUAGAAACACUUUUAGUAAGUGCUAUUUCCAAAUAAUCACUAGUCAUUAUGAACUUCAUUGUCUAAGGUUACUUGUUAAAAUUAAGAAAUGUACUUUAAAUAGCAUUAAAGUCAACUAAAGAAGAAAAGAGUCAACUCUUCCCACUGUUAUACUUAUUUUCAGUUAUUUGCUCUCAAAGUCUCAACCUUUACUUGUUAACAACCAGAGAGCGAGAGGGAGACAGAGUUCCUAAAAACAGAGAAUCUUUCGGGUUAAGACCAAAAGAGAAAGCUCUAAAGUCUAAACAACAGGUAAGAACAUAAAAAAAAACCUACUGGUCAGAUAUCUCAAUGCAAACCGAGUCUGUUACUGAAGCUUGCUCAUAUCCCAAGCCACUCUCAUAACACCAAACCUCGAGUUAGCUUCUCCAAAAGUCCUCCCAACAUCAUCAGACCCAUAAGGGAUGCUCAUCUUGCUAUAAUCAUAUAACCCACUAAGCUCCAUCACAUCAACCACGCAAACCUGUCUCGUCUCCAGGCUUAAACCGUACCACUCACCGUCCGUUUUCAAAACCGUUCCUUUACCGACCUCGACUCCUCUCUCGUCCACAAGCAUCACUUGCUGCCCACGCUUCAGCCCUUCUGACGAUGAUGCAGAAGCUUUAUCUGCAAAUGGUGUUGUUGGUUUCUGCUGCUGCUGCUGCCAAGUGUUUUCAUCUCCGGGACUCUCUGGUAAAUCCCCUGAGCUAUUGUUAUCACGUGAUGGCCCUUGCUUGCUUGCUGCUCGAGCUAGCUUUGCUUUUCUGUUAUUCAGCCUGACAACAACAACAACAACAAAAAAACUACCCCCUCAGUUCCAUUAAAAUAGAUGUUUUAGAAAAAAAAAUUGUUUCACGAAAAUAAUUUUUUGUGUUUUCAUUGAAAAAGUUUUAAACUUCAGGAAAAUUAAUCGACUUUAUUGAAUUAUUAUUGGGAUGCAACGUUAUUAAAAAUUCAAAAUUACAGAAGAUAAUACAUUUAUUAUAGCGAUUUAAUGUGUUUUAUUAAUAUGUACGAAAACAGUCAAAAUUCUAUCUUUGUGAAACAGAGGUAGUAAAAAUGUAAGAUUGAGACAUAGUGAUAGCUAGAGAGAGAGAGAUAGAAGCAGGUACCAGUUCUUCAGCUGUGCAGAUGUAACCUCAGGACCCUGCAAGCUGAGUUUAUCAGCCCAUGUCCGUAUCCAAGCCGAGUUCCGCUGCAUAUCAGGCUCAUCAACAAGCGCCUUCUCCAUCAUCGCCAUCUGAUCAUCACUCAUUAUACUCCGCUUCCUUUUGGUCCUCUGUUUCUCCAAUAAAAGAGAAGCUUCGGCUCUCUCAUCCUCCUUCACCUCUCCAGAGGAAGCGCUCACUUUAAGCCGCUUGGUGAAAGUGCGAGCCAAAUCUCCAUCUUCAGCCUGAUCAACCAGACCUUUCCCUCCUCUGUUAGAGCUUGUUUCUGAACCUGAUCAACCAGACCUUUCCCUCCUCUGUUAGAGCUUGUUUGUGAACCGCUGGUUUCGAGAUUGUCGCUUUCUUUGGACCGUUCAGCUGUUUCCAUCUCCUCCUUGUUCACGCCUUGCUUUGUCGCGGCACCUUCCGCUCGGACAUCAGAAUCCUCUGAAGCUUCGUCGUUGUUGAGAUUCAGAGGCUCUUUCCCCAGCUGCUUGCCAGAUGAACUCCCUCCCGCACCUUGAUUGUCCUAGAACAUAUGAUCGACAAGAGUAAAAUGUCGUUGCAGUUACUUGUAUCAGUUUAAAUAAACAGAUGCUCAUAAACAAAUGCAUACAAUUGUACCUAGUAACAACAAUGUACAAGAGAGUAAGUAGCUUUUCACCUUCACCUCAGCCUGACUUUCCUCAAACUCAGAACGGAUUAGCGGCUCCAACUGUUGACAGAACACCCUGCAGACGACAGCAUCCCAAAAAAAUAUAUAUAUAUAUAUAUAUAUCAAUACAAAACAGCACCGCUCAAGAACUAUAGAAAUCUUCUUCAAUAUUGUCUUCAAGGUGAAACGUAGAAUGACUGAGAGAGGUUCAUUCACCUCAAAAUCAUUAAAUCUUCGACAUUGAGUGCAUUAGGGAUCAAGAACUCUGCGUGAUGCAACAGAGAACCUACAAAAAUACAAACAUCCAUCACAAUGAAAUCAACAAAACGAUGUGUAACAAGAAUGUGUGGGGAUAAAGGGGUACACACUUAUGUUUUUGCAAACACUAGUGCCUCUCUGAGCCUUCGGAGUAUAUGUAGAGCUUGGUAAUAGAUUAACCAGUAUGCUUGUGGGAUCCUUUCGCAAUCCACUCACAAACGUUUGAAUGAAACGGUUCCUGUCAUCUUCUGCAGGUUUCAACAGCAAAUCCACAUAGUGAGAAACAAAGGUACAAGCACAUGGUGAGGUUAUUUAAAAAUUCACCUGUGCAGACUUCGGGAACGAAGCAGUGAAGAUUAGCCAUGAUUUUAACAAUCAAGGACGUUCUUUGAUGAGCGUAUGAAGACAUGGUGAGGUUAUUUUGAAAAUUAAGCUUGAACUGAGGAACGGCCAAUUCACCAGGAGAUGAGAAUGCACUUAGAACCCAUCCAGAUGAGGUAAACAGAUCGUAGUCAAGCGUUGCAUCGUCUUCCCUUGAAGAAAGAUCAGAAGAGCACAACAUUGACAAGAAAUCUCCAUGAGGGAGACAAAACACUGCGCUGAGAACCAUUGUCUGUAGAUUAAGAUUUAACAUCCCUCACACAUUAAAAUCACAGAUAAAGCAAAGGCAAGGGGAGUAAUUCAACAAAUACUUACAAAAUGUUUGGUGAAAAAACGUCGAAAAUGUGAGUCAUCCGAGAACACGUCAGCCAAGCGCAUAGCGUUAAGUAGCACAAAACCCAUUGGAUACUCAUGAGGAGGAGUACUAGCCUUGGAGGCUCUAGAAAGGCCAAGCCUCAUUAAUUCAAGAACCUAGAUUACAGAUAUAACAUCAUUAGAUAAGUCAACACUACUCCACUGUUUAAACAGAACCCUUAUUAGGACUAACCUUUGAGGCAACAGUUUGGGCUAAAUGCAAGCUUCCUGAACGCUCAACCUCGUCAAGGAAUGAGACACUUUCCGCCUCAAACAAAUGGUGCAACUGCACGAAACAUAAAACUUUUGGUAUGAGACUUACAGACAGUAGUAAAUAGAGGAAACAACUAUGCUAAGUUACAACAAAACUUACAAGUGAGAGGGCUUUUGCAUUUAUUCUAGAUAUGGAAGCUAUUAUUACGGCUGCUCCAACCCAUUCAGGAGUUAUAUAUAGUGAUAGUAUGGACUGAGCUAGCAUAAGAACACCACCUUUUCCACAUAGCUCCUGAAAAGAAUAAUACCAUAAAACCUAAUUCUGAGAAUCACUCUCCCAAACAUUAUUAAUCUAUCAUAGCGGUUAAAGAGUCAGGCAGUAGAGAAACCUGGUUUUUAGCGACACGGUCUCUAAACAGUUUGUGUUGGCAUAGAGAGUGAAGGAACUGCAAAGCAGCUUCAGCUUGUUGGCAGUGUGCGUUAACGGCCCCUACAGAAUUAGCACCUAGCUUCUUCGGUUGGUCGGCUUGCCGAUGCAGCAACUUCGCUCUUAAAGAUCUCACAACAUUAUGAACUGCUCCAAAAGCAGCGUCUAUAAACACAUCAACCUAGAUGAGAAACAUAACAAUCAGAUCAAAUGAAUCCCAAUAUCUCAAAGCACAAGCGUGAUCUUUCCAUAUAUUGGCAUUUCAAGGACACCUCAUGGUAAAAGGUCAUACCUUAGGGUGGGCAAGCAAGACUAUAACAAGAUCUUGGGAGUUAGGAGAGAUGAACCCGUGCAUCAGGUGAAGAGUAGAAGCCACCAUUGUAGCUUCUAUCAAUGAGUCAUAAUCUGAUUUCCAGCUUUCCUACAAGGAAGAGACCCUGUUAAGUUUCAUACGCUUUCAAUUUAAAACCAUUGUAGUGGCACAAGUCCCUUAUAUGUCCCAUAGAUCUAUACUCCAACACCCUCCCUCGAGAUAAUAACAAUUAAUUUCGACAUAAUCUAUCAGACACAGAGAGAGUAUUAUACCUUCCUAUUACCGCCGAGAGCUACCAUGGUAAAGAUCACAAGAUCAUAUGCAACCAACCAAAACACAAGUACACGGGGUUAACACUCAACCAUUCAUCAACAUUCAUUUCAAAUUCAACUCAACCUAGUACACAUAGUUCAGUUCAAAUUCAACUCUAGCUAGCACUCGAAUUGAUUAAGAUUGAGUGUUACCUUUUUUUUCAGUCGAAGCAUAGCUUCUCCAAGUCCGCGACCUGCACUGAGAGGUUAUAAACCUGCCCAGUGAGGUUAUCAACCUCUCCAUUGAGGGCUUUAACCUCUGCCUGGGCAUGGAAACAACAAUCACACUGUGUUAGUCAGUUAAUAAAAAAUGAUGGAAAAUAUUACAAAUUUAAAACAAAAUUUUGGAAGUCACUUUACCUCCAGUCUCUCAAUCUGAUUAUUGACCUUCGGCACCCACUUGAUCACCAGCUCAACCUCCUCCAUACGCUUAGUGAGGCGUUCGAUAUGCUCCUGGACACCAAUCACCCAAGGCUGACGGUAAUGAAACCCAUCAGCCUUGUUAAGCACAAAAACACAUGUGAGAAUCUCGUUAGAAACUCAAUUAAAUGGAAAUAAUUUAAUUGAGAAGAAGCGCUUACUUUGUAGUUUUUGCAGGUGAAGAACCGCUUCCCAGGAAGAGUGUCGUAGUCGUCCUUCCCCCGAACAUCGUCAAUGAUUCUCCCUCCGCAGGGACACCUCGUCGGAAUCCCGUAUUCUGAAUCUGCCACGUAUCCUUGCAUGUUGAUCAACUCCGUCUGCCUCUUUGUCUCUCUUCUCUCUUCUGCGGGAUCCAUCUGUACCAGAAAAAGCAAAUAUUAGAACACAAUAAACGGUAGAGCGUAACCAGAAACUCGUUUUGGAACCCUAAGUAGAAACCCCCAAAUCGAUUUCAAAUCCUCAAGAAACGAACCCUAAAUUGAACCCGCAUGGCGAUUAUUAACCCUAAAUCAAAACCCCCAUAUCGAUUUUGAACCCUACAUCAAAACCCCCAAAUCGAUUUUCAAUUAACCGAUAACCCUUUCGACCCCAAAUAGAUUCUAUGAAACCGUAAAAGUAGUUGAUACUCACCUCAGAUCGUUUACGAGAGUCUCCGACGUCGAUUCAAUCGAGAAAUUCUCCGGCUGUCGCGUCGCACGAGAUAUCGCCUCCCACAGAGAGAAACCCUAGCUUUCGAAAAAAGGAGAGAAAAUGAAUCAUCUCACGCGUAACCCUAUUUUUCUCCCUCUCGACGCGAAAACACGCGGCCAAUGCCUGUCCGACGCGUGGCUUGAACCCGUAUCAUACGGACUCACUCCAAAGAGACGGAUCACCCAAUUAAACUCAAUAAAACAUUUCUUUUUAUUUUCCGGGUCUAUAAACCCCAGCCCAUGAACUCCUAUUAAUCCGCUAAUGCGGAUGCUCUUAGGUAUGACUUUUACUUUUUGGACUUCUUAAUUUUAAUCUAUGUUUUUUAAAAAAUUGUUUCUAAAGAUAUAUAUUUUUUAAGUGAAUGAUAAAUUGUAAAUUUAUAAAAUUUAAUUGUGUUUAUUGAAUUUUAAUUGAUUAAAAAUUAAGAAAAUAGUUAAUCACAAAGAUAAAUAUAUUUAUAAUAACACCUUAAUAUAUUUUAUUAAUAUAUAUAUACGAGAACUCUUUUUUCUUUGGGUCAAAAUAUGUGAUAUAUUUUAGCCUUUUUAAAAUGGAGGGAGUAUUUAUUUGUCUAUGUAUAACAUUUUGGUUGAUCAUUUCCGUUUGAAACAUUCUUGAAAUAGUGAGAUGAUGCACAAGUUCUCGGAGCAACUAGUGGAACUGGAUGUAAUGGUGAGAAGAAUGAUAAUGGAGAGUUUUGGAGUAGAGAAGUACCUUGACGAGCAUCUAAAUUCUACAAACUAUCUCUUUCGAAUGAUGAAGUACACAGCACCUCCUGAUGAAGAUGUAGAAGAGGCAAAGCUAGGUUUACGUUCUCAUACGGACAAGAACAUCAUCACCAUACUUCAUCAGUAUGAAGUUGAUGGUUUGGAAAUUAUGACCAAAGAUGGACAAUGG
rnacentral:lncRNA from 1 species